GCUGACACAUCCCUGCCAAUCUCCAGCAGACCCUCCCUCCCAGACCCUCCUACUUCCUGGACAGCAUCCAUGUUGAAGCUGCCUUCAACAUGGAUGCUGUCCAGGAAGUAGGAGGGUCUGGGAGGGAGGGUCUGCUGGAGAUUGGCCGGGAUGUGUCAG